rnacentral:rRNA from 1 species
CAGGGAUUGCCUUAGUAGCGGCGAGUGAAGCGGCAAAAGCUCAAAUUUGAAAUCUGGCGCCUUCGGUGUCCGAGUUGUAAUUUGAAGAUUGUAACCUUGGGGUUGGCUCUUGUCUAUGUUUCUUGGAACAGGACGUCACAGAGGGUGAGAAUCCCGUGCGAUGAGAUGCCCAAUUCUAUGUAAGGUGCUUUCGAAGAGUCGAGUUGUUUGGGAAUGCAGCUCUAAGUGGGUGGUAAAUUCCAUCUAAAGCUAAAUAUUGGCGAGAGACCGAUAGCGAACAAGUACAGUGAUGGAAAGAUGAAAAGAACUUUGAAAAGAGAGUGAAAAAGUACGUGAAAUUGUUGAAAGGGAAGGGUUUGAGAUCAGACUCGAUAUUUUGUGAGCCUUGCCUUCGUGGCGGGGUGACCCGCAGCUUAUCGGGCCAGCAUCGGUUUGGGCGGUAGGAUAAUGGCGUAGGAAUGUGACUUUACUUCGGUGAAGUGUUAUAGCCUGCGUUGAUGCUGCCUGCCUAGACCGAGGACUGCGAUUUUAUCAAGGAUGCUGGCAUAAUGAUCCCAAACCGCCCGUCUUGAAACACGGA